rnacentral:lncRNA from 1 species
ACCCACCUACCUCAAGUGCAAAUAUCACAAUUAUCUCUUUCUACAAAAUAUGUUCCCUCUCUCUCUCUAUGAUACAACUUUCUCUCUCUACUGCAGCCGCACUCUCCGCUCUCCUGAUGUCCUCAUUAACAUUACCACCUCUGGCCCUUCCUUCUUUAAGAGAUACACGCUGUUGUCGCAUCAACCAGAUGUUUUUUCGUUGACGCCCCUGUCUUCGCUGGAAAUUGAGGCUCCAGUUCUUCCUCCGUUUCCAUAUUCGCUAGUGGCUGUUUUGGACACCACAUAUUUGGAUUGCUAUUUUGGGUUAUGUGGUGGUAGGUUGGGUGACCACCUGAUUGUGUUACUGUUUUGGGUUGUGGUGGUGAUGUUUUGGUGGUGGUACUGGUAGGAGUGGCAUUGGGAUGGAAUGCGCCGGAUGAAAUGUUGUUAUCAGUAGAGUAUAAUAAUAUAUAGGAUCAAUAUUUCUUCAUGAUAAUUUUUCAAUAGUAUAGGAUUAUUUUCCUUAAUAAUUGAUUGUAUAAUUAUUACACAAUCUCUCCUUUUGAGUUAUUUUCUUUUAAGUUUAUUUGUAACCCUAUAAAUUGGUCUUCUCCUUUGUAAUAUUAGCAAAACUUUAUUAUAUACAAUUUACAAUUUUCUUGACAUGGUAUCAGAGCCGUUCCGAUCCCAAAAAAAUUAACCAUUGAAUUUAAUUUCCAGGUUGCUCGCCCGACCAAAUUUUCUUUUAGUAGAAAUCCCAAAAAAUUUUAAAAUUGCUCGAG